rnacentral:rRNA from 1 species
CAGCAGUAGCCGCGGUAAUACGUAGGUGGCAAGCGUUGUCCGGAAUUAUUGGGCGUAAAGGGCUCGCAGGCGGUUUCUUAAGUCUGAUGUGAAAGCCCCCGGCUCAACCGGGGAGGGUCAUUGGAAACUGGGAAACUUGAGUGCAGAAGAGGAGAGUGGAAUUCCACGUGUAGCGGUGAAAUGCGUAGAGAUGUGGAGGAACACCAGUGGCGAAGGCGACUCUCUGGUCUGUAACUGACGCUGAGGAGCGAAAGCGUGGGGAGCGAACAGGAUUAGAUACCCCGGUAGUCCCUGUCUCUUAUAU